GAGGCCGCCCCCUGCCGCCCGGAGGCCGCGAGCCGCCCGGCCCGGCCCUCGCCGCGGGGAUGCCUGCGCGGAACCUGCUGCUCGGCGAGCUCCAGGCCCUUCCCGGCGCGGAGACCCUCCGGACGCUGGGGGGCCGCUCCAGCCCGCAGACGCCGAGGUUCUCGCACUGCCCCUCGCGCCCGAGGUCCCUGCAGGAGGACAUGGCCCAGCAGAAAAGUAGGCUGGAGCCACCCACCUUGGAGUCCUGCCAAUGUAGCGGAAGCUGCCUCCUUCAGGACGGAUGCAUCCCAGAGGAACUAACUGGUCUCACUAUGAACUCGCUAUGUGAAGUCAGAGCAUUUGUGCCACCUUCUGAAAAACACUGA
rnacentral:lncRNA from 1 species